UUUUACUCCUACGGGAGGCAGCAGUAGGGAAUCUUCCGCAAUGGACGAAAGUUUGACGGAGCAACGCCGCGUGAGUGAUGAAGGCUUUCGGGUCGUAAAACUCUGUUGUUAGGGAAGAACAAGUACGAGAGUAACUGCUCGUACCUUGACGGUACCUAACCAGAAAGCCACGGCUAACUACGUGCCAGCAGCCGCGGUAAUACGUAGGUGGCAAGCGUUAUCCGGAAUUAUUGGGCGUAAAGCGCGCGCAGGCGGUUUCUUAAGUCUGAUGUGAAAGCCCCCGGCUCAACCGUGGAGGGUCAUUGGAAACUGGGGAACUUGAGUGCAGAAGAGAAGAGCGGAAUUCCACGUGUAGCGGUGAAAUGCGUAGAGAUGUGGAGGAACACCAGUGGCGAAGGCGACUCUCUGGUCUGUAACUGACGCUGAGAGCGAAUGACUACCC
rnacentral:rRNA from 1 species